UCCACUAUUUAGUGCAAAGGCUCCUGGGA
rnacentral:piRNA from 1 species